rnacentral:rRNA from 1 species
UACGGGGGGGGCAAGCGUUGUUCGGAAUUACUGGGCGUAAAGGGCUCGUAGGUGGCCAACUAAGUCAGACGUGAAAUCCCUCGGCUUAACCGGGGAACUGCGUCUGAUACUGGAUGGCUUGAGUUUGGGAGAGGGACGCGGAAUUCCAGGUGUAGCGGUGAAAUGCGUAGAUAUCUGGAGGAACACCGGUGGCGAAGGCGGGUCUCUGGGCCGAAACUGACGCUGAGGAGCGAAAGCGUGGGGAGCGAACAGG